CCUAUGGGUAUGGCACUUGGAACUACGGUUAGGGUUUCAAAGGGCAGAGCACUUGCAGCUACGGUGAGGGUUCAUAAGGGUAGGGCACUUGGACCAGGUGAGAGUGAG